rnacentral:rRNA from 1 species
UACGGAGGGUGCGAGCGUUGUCCGGAAUCACUGGGCGUAAAGGGCGCGUAGGUGGCCCGUUAAGUGGCUGGUGAAAUCCCGCGGCUCAACUGCGGGGCUGCCGGUCAUACUGGCGAGCUAGAGCACGGUAGGGGCAGAUGGAAUUCCCGGUGUAGCGGUGGAAUGCGUAGAGAUCGGGAAGAAUACCAGUGGCGAAGGCGUUCUGCUGGGCCGUUGCUGACACUGAGGCGCGACAGCGUGGGGAGCAAACAGG